rnacentral:lncRNA from 1 species
GAGCGUCGAGGAUGUUCUAGAUGGUGAUGACACAACAAUACAGAGUUCCAGAUUAGAAUCACUGAGCGUCGAGGAUGUUCUAGAUGGUGAUGACACAACAAUACAGAGUUAGAUCAUUUUGACGUGCGGAGCAACUUCAACAUUUUGUUUGUUUGUUGGAGAAGGUGGUUUGAGCUUUCUAAUUGGGCAGUUAAAGCUUGUCUGUUAAAACACGUUAUGUUAGUGAUUCCUUUACGUUGGCAGUUACCUGUAUGUAGGCCAGUACAACAACAACAAAAAUGUAUGAGAUGUAUGCAUUCACUACUGUAAGUCGCUCUGGAUAAGAGCGUCUGCUAAAAUGACUCAAAUGUAAAAUGUAGGUCUAUUGUAGCUCGGGGUUUUCUGUCUCUCCAACCCCUCUUCAUGGCGCCGACCCUCCGGGUUUGGAGAGGGUCCAUUUCGUCUCCCCAAAGGUCAAAGUUCAGACCCUUGUUUAGCCUAGGUUCUGUCAAAAUCAAAUCAAAAUACAAUAAAAUAAAAAUGUUAUUGGUCGUGUACACGUGUUUAGCAGAUGUUAUUGCCGGUGUAAUAUCUAACAAUUACACAACAAUACACGAGUAGCCUGGUGGUUAGAGUAGGCAGGUAGCCUAGUUGUUAGAGGAAACAAGUAGUCUAGUGGUUAGAGGAGGCGGGUAGCCUAGUGGUUAGAGGAGGAGGCAGGUAGCCUAGUGGUUAGAGGAGGCAGGUAGCCUAGUGGUUAGAGGAGGCGGGUAGCCUAGUGGUUAGAGGAGGAGGCAGGUAGCCUAGUGGUUAGAGGAGGCAGGUAGCCUAGUGGUUAGAGGAGGCGGGUAGCCUAGUGGUUAGAGGAGGCAGGUAGCCUAGUGGUUAGAGGAGGCAGGUAGCCUAGUGGUUAGAGGAGGCAGGUAGCCUAGUGGGUAGAGCAGGUAGCCUGGUGGUUAGAGGAGGCAGGUAGCCUAGUGGUUAGAGGAGGCAGGUAGCCUAGUGGUUAGAGGAGGCAGGUAGCCUGGUGGUUAGAGGAGGCAGGUAGCCUAGUGGUUAGAGGAGGCAGGUAGCCUAGUGGUUAGAGGAGGCAGGUAGCCUAGUGGUUAGAGUGUUGGCC